AGAAAUAGUGCAGAAUACUAACUAUUCUCUUAUACCCUCUUUAAGAUAAGUAUUUGUAUUGUUUUUUUAAUAUUUACAGGUUUACAUAGGAAUACGACAGGGAUUCGUCGAACAGUUUACAUUUGAGUAAACAAUUUGUUAAAUGUAGGGAGAAGGAGGAGAAGAGGACAGAUGAGUAAAGGAUAGCUAAAGAGGGCAGAUGCAGGUAAGUUUUUCAUCUAGGGAGUUCAUUUAUCAAAGGGACAAAGAGACAAACUAAAUGAAAAGAGCAGAGAAAAGAGGUUUGUGCAUACAAGUGUGAGAGUGCAUCAGGGACAAAAUCCUGCGAUCGAGAGUACGAGUGCUUAAAAAGAUAGAGCGAGAGUAUGACAGGGCGAAUUAGAGAGCAAUCAGAUGCUGGUCUGACAUUAACUGAAUCCCUAAUGAAGGUGAGAGGAGAUGAUUGGCUGGACGUGCAUUCCGAUGAGGUCUUCUUCGAUGAUAGCUGCGGGGGUGACCUCAGUCCUCAAAGGACAGACUCCAACUCAUCUGGCAUUUCUAAUUGGCUACAUGGAUGGCAGCCAAAUAGUGUUGCCCAUAUAUGGAUGUAACAACAUGUGGUGCUCAUCGGGGUUAAAGGGACAAGAAAUGAGGGGAGGGUGAGAGAGGCAAAGAAAGAAAAAGAGAUAGUGAUGACACUGAGGGCAGGAAAGGUUGAAUGACAUCAAGAAAGCUAAAAAUGGGAAAGUCUGAGGAGCUCAGUAAGAAAAAUCAGUUAUUGAGAUUUCUUUUCACGUUUUUUGUUUUGUUUUAUUUUGUUUUGUUUUUUUUGCGUGUUUCCACACAUUUAUCAUUAUACCAUAUUUUUUAGCAUUUCAAAGAAUUUAAUUUCUCCUGGUUGCUGAUGGAAUGAAGCACGAGUUUUUCAUUUUGAUACAAUAAACAAAGAAUGAAAUUGACACAGUAACAUUAAUACCUAAUGGAGAUGUUGAAAUACACUUAGCAUAGCUUUCUUUCCAGAAGAGAAGUAUAUUUAUUUUUUCAUGUCAAUAUUUUACAGUAAAACCUGUGAUACGUUGGUUUGCAAACCAGUAAAACUAGUAAAGUUAUUUGUCUCGAAGCUCUGAUCAGUGAUUGACAAACAUCAGCCCACCAGCACCGCCACAUUUUUACUAAUUAACACAACACAUCUUGAUUUUAUUUCAUCCAUCAGUUGCAGAAACUCCACCAAUAUAACUGUCAAUCUUCUACCCUUGAACCACCAGUCAUGAACAAGACUCCAUCAUAGUUAAUGAAGGCAUAAUGGCAUCACUUAACCAUUAAUUCCAAUGAUGAAAUUACCUACUGAUUAUAUUUAGGCAUAUCUAUUCAUAGUGUGUGACAAAUUUUACGCUUGCUGUUUGCUAGCCAAAACACAUCUGCAGCAGUAGCUUAAGUAACAAGAAUACCAUCUAUACCAGGAUACAUGCAUCCUGGACAGUGUAGAAUAACCACACUUCAUUAAAAGCAGUCAUACAGUUCUCAUUAAAUGGGUUCCAGUGGUGUACGUGGUAUUAACUUU
ensembl:lncRNA